CGAGUUGGCCGGGCGACCGCGGAACAGGGAACCGGCACCGGACGGUGUCAGGCCCUGCGUCGAGGAAAGUCCGGACUCCACAGAGCAGGGCGGUUGUUAACGGCAACCCGAGGUGACUCGCGGGACAGUGCCACAGAAAACAGACCGCCUGCCCCUCGCGGGCAGGUAAGGGUGAAACGGUGCGGUAAGAGCGCACCAGCACCCCGGGUGACCGGGGUGGCUAGGUAAACCCCGCCCGGAGCAAGGUUGAAGGUCGCAUCGCUGCGCGGUGCGUCUGCGCAGGUGCUCGAGGGCUGCUCGCCCGAGCCUGCGGGUGAACCGCUCGAGGUACCCGGCAACGGUGUGCCCAGAUGGAUGGUCGCCACCCCGCUUCGGCGGGGGACAGGAUCCGGCUUACAGGCCGACUCGUCCG
rnacentral:RNase_P_RNA from 3 species